rnacentral:lncRNA from 1 species
GACACACACGCCAUCUCAAAGCACAAAAUGCUUUGCAAACCAUCCACUGGGAGUUCACCAAGGAAACUCCUGGAAGUCGAGAGGAGGAAAAGCAGAGAUUCUGAUCCUGUAGAUCUGGAUUAGAGCCUCAGACUCGGCAUUUCCAACAAGCUCCCAGAGGCUGCGGACGGUCCAAGGACCACACUUUGAGUAGCGGAGCCCCAGGUUCAUAACUUGGAGAAAGGCGAUGUUGAUCCUUUUUGUUUGAAGGAUUCUUGGGCCUGAGGCGACCCCCAGGUGACCUUCUGUUUCAGCCAGAGAAUCCAGCUGGAGAGAAGGUGCAGGAGGCCCAGGAACCAUUUGUGAUUUUUUUGUUCAUGAGUAUUUUAAAGGCGUGUGUUAUUCUUUGUAGGAUGUGCACAGAGGCUAUCCCAACAUUUGCAGGUGAGAGAGUGAAACACUCCAUUCUCAGGACAAGAAAUUCUGUUACCAUUUUCUUUUUUUCAGUCUUGAGAACCCUGGG